rnacentral:rRNA from 1 species
CCUACGGGGUGCACCGGUGGGGAAUAUUGGACAAUGGGGGGAACCCUGAUCCAGCCACGCCGCGUGUGUGAAGAAGGCCUUUUGGUUGUAAAGCACUUUAAGCGAGGAGGAGGCUACCUAGAUUAAUACUUUAGGAUAGUGGACGUUACUCGCAGAAUAAGCACCGGCUAACUCUGUGCCAGCAGCCGCGGUAAUACAGAGGUUGCGAGCGUUAAUCGGAUUUACUGGGCGUAAAGCGUGCGUAGGCGGCCAAUUAAGUCAAAUGUGAAAUCCCCGAGCUUAACUUGGGAAUUGCAUUCGAUACUGGUUGGCUAGAGUAUGGGAGAGGAUGGUAGAAUUCCAGGUGUAGCGGUGAAAUGCGUAGAGAUCUGAGGAAUACCGAUGGCGAAGGCAGCCAUCUGGCCUAAUACUGACGCUGAGGUGCGAAAGCAUGGGGAGCAAACAGGAUUAGAUACCCCAGUAGUC